UUAAACUUCGGGUUCGGAUUAAUACCUUCGGCAGCAACAUGUUCGAUAAACAGGAAAAGUCCUCCUGGUUUCAACACCCUUUUCACCUCUGAACAAAGUUAUCAAAAGUUAAAAAUUCGUUGCAACAUUCUAAUUAUUGUAGGUCCAACAUUCUAAUUAUUGUAGGUCAAAUCAGAAGUUAGCAUUGAACUUCAUUGGAGCAUGAUAAACGACCUUUAAGUGCCAUGUUAACAUCUUGGACAGAACAUAAUACAAGUGUACCAACAACUGCAUCAACAGAUGAAUCAUCUAGUGGAACAGCCUCUGCAACCUGG
rnacentral:lncRNA from 1 species